rnacentral:tRNA from 1 species
GAUUCUUUAGCUCAGUUGGUAGUUAACCGUUCGGUCGCUGGUUCGAGUCCAGCAAGAACCA